AUGACCUCGGAUCAGGCAGG
rnacentral:rRNA from 1 species